CCUACGGGGGGCAGCAGUGGGGAAUAUUGGACAAUGGGGGCAACCCUGAUCCAGCCAUGCCGCGUGUGUGAAGAAGGCCCUCGGGUUGUAAAGCACUUUCAGUGAGGAAGAACGCCUGGUGGUUAAUACCCAUCAGGAAAGACAUCACUCACAGAAGAAGCACCGGCUAACUCCGUGCCAGCAACCGCGGUAAUACGGAGGGUGCGAGCGUUAAUCGGAAUUACUGGGCGUAAAGCGCGCGUAGGUGGCUUGAUAAGCCGGUUGUGAAAGCCCCGGGCUCAACCUGGGAACGGCAUCCGGAACUGUCAAGCUAGAGUGCAGGAGAGGAAGGUAGAAUUCCCGGUGUAGCGGUGAAAUGCGUAGAGAUCGGGAGGAAUACCAGUGGCGAAGGCGGCCUUCUGGACUGACACUGACACUGAGGUGCGAAAGCGUGGGUAGCAAACAGGAUUAGAUACCCCAGUAGUC
rnacentral:rRNA from 1 species